AGGUCCGUGGCUCAGCCUGGUAGAGCGCACGGCUGAUAACCGUGAGGUCCUGGGUUCGAACCCCAGCGGACCUA
rfam:Methanobrevibacter filiformis strain DSM 11501 MBFIL_contig000250, whole genome shotgun sequence.